rnacentral:rRNA from 1 species
UACGGGGGGAGCAAGCGUUGCUCGGAUUUACUGGGCGUAAAGGGCGCGUAGGCGGCCACGACAAGUCACUUGUGAAAUCUCCGGGCUUAACUCGGAACGGUCAAGUGAUACUGUCGGGCUAGAGUGCAGAAGGGGCAACUGGAAUUCUCGGUGUAGCGGUGAAAUGCGUAGAUAUCGAGAGGAACACCUGCGGCGAAGGCGGGUUGCUGGGCUGACACUGACGCUGAGGAGCGAAAGCGUGGGGAGCGAACAGG